rnacentral:rRNA from 1 species
AUUGAACGCUGGCGGCAGGCUUAACACAUGCAAGUCGAGCGGAGAUGAGGUGCUUGCACCUUAUCUUAGCGGCGGGCGGGUGAGUAAUGCUUAGGAAUCUGCCUAUUAGUGGGGGACAACAUUCCGAAAGGAAUGCUAAUACCCCAUACGUCCUACGGGAGAAAGCAGGGGAUCUUCGGACCUUGCGCUAAUAGAUGAGCCUAAGUCGGAUUAGCUAGUUGGUGGGGUAAAGGCCUACCAAGGCGACGAUCUGUAGCGGGUCUGAGAGGAUGAUCCGCCACACUGGGACUGAGACACGGCCCAGACUCCUACGGGAGGCAGCAGUGGGGAAUAUUGGACAAUGGGGGGAACCCUGAUCCAGCCAUGCCGCGUGUGUGAAGAAGGCCUUAUGGUUGUAAAGCACUUUAAGCGAGGAGGAGGCUACUGAGACUAAUACUCUUGGAUAGUGGACGUUACUCGCAGAAUAAGCACCGGCUAACUCUGUGCCAGCCGCCGCGGUAA